CAGUCGCCACGGGAAAACGAAGGGGGCUAGCGUUGUUCGGAUUUACCGGGCGUAAAGGGCGCGUAGGCGGACUGAUAAGUCAGGGGUGAAAUCCCAAGGCUCAACCUUGGAACUGCCUUUGAUACUGUUUGUCUUGAGUUCGAGAGAGGUAAGUGGAACUGCGAGUGUAGAGGUGAAAUUCGUAGAUAUUCGCAAGAACACCAGUGGCGAAGGCGGCUUACUGGCUCGAAACUGACGCUGAGGCGCGAAAGCGUGGGGAGCAAACAGGAUUAGAUACCCCGGUAGUCCCUGUCUCUUAUAC
rnacentral:rRNA from 1 species